rnacentral:rRNA from 1 species
GACGAACGCUGGCGGCGUGCCUAAUACAUGCGAGUAGAACGCUGAAGGAGGAGCUUGCUUCUCUGGAUGAGUUGCGAGCGGGUGAGUAACGCGUAGGUAACCUGCCUGGUAGCGGGGGAUAACUAUUGGAAACGAUAGCUAAUACCGCAUAAUAGUAGAUGUUGCAUGACAUUUGCUUAAAAGGUGCAAUUGCAUCACUACCAGAUGGACCUGCGUUGUAUUAGCUAGUUGGUGGGGUAACGGCUCACCAAGGCGACGAUACAUAGCCGACCUGAGAGGGUGAUCGGCCACACUGGGACUGAGACACGGCCCAGACUCCUACGGGAGGCAGCAGUAGGGAAUCUUCGGCAAUGGACGGAAGUCUGACCGAGCAACGCCGCGUGAGUGAAGAAGGUUUUCGGAUCGUAAAGCUCUGUUGUAAGAGAAGAACGAGUGUGAGAGUGGAAAGUUCACACUGUGACGGUAUCUUACCAGAAAGGGACGGCUAACUACGUG